rnacentral:lncRNA from 1 species
AUGGUGGUAAAUUAAUAACAUCUAAAUGUUCAUUUUCUUACUUAGUAGUCAGUUCCCUGCUACAAAAGUUGUCUCCAAUUAUUUAUUAUGCGAAGAACUUUGGGCACUUGUAGGCUCAUCAGAAAUUAUAGUAUUCUUAUUUACUCUAAUUCUUACCUGUCCUUUCAAGAUGUUCUCCUCGGUAGGCUGAAAAAUCAGUAGCUUUUGUUCAUGAAUAAUAAGUCACUUUAAGAGUUAAAACUGAAGGUCUGAUACUGUAUCUUGAGAUAACUAAAGCUCUUUGUCCUCAAUGAUUUCACUAUUUGAUUAUCUUUUAGAAAUGCUACCCUAUUGAGGAUUGCUUUUUAUACUAUCUAAUGCCUCAUCCAGAUAAACAAAUGUUAAAAUCCCAGCUGGAGUUCACUCUUUGGCAUUGGUAUCAAGGUACCCCUUGACAUGAAAGUGAAAGAACAAGCAUAUCACAUCUUUCCAGAGUGUCACUUUUACUCAAAAGCUGGAAACCUUAAAUUCUGUUUACAGGAAGUCAGAGUUUCCCCAACAGCUACCAGUAGACAAAAUCUGAAGUACCAUGGUAAUGGAGAUGCAACAAUAAUUGUAUUUUUAUUUAAGAAAUACUCCUCUUACUAUUUGUAUGCAAAAGCUGUAGAUCCAAGCAUGUUUAAUUUAAGGGGUCUUUCUUAGAGCUUUGUCUGUAAAUGGCUCCGACAUUCUGUGACUUUCACAGAAAAUAACCCAAACUGGAAUGCCUUCAUGCCCUGGUUCACCGUUAUGGUCUUGCUUUUCUUUUCUUUUUUCUUUUUCUCUUUCUCUCUUUGUUUCUCUCCCUUUUUCUCUCUCUUUCAGAUAAGAGCAGGGAUGCAGUAUGAGACAGAGUUUUUACAUGCAAAGGAAAAGAUUAAUUUUGUGAAAGAAGAACUCAAGGGCUUUUGAGCCUCCAAUCAAUCACUAUUGUCUUCUGCUGAUGUCUGAGCCUGAAAAAGAAAUGGGAUAAUGUAUAGGACACUAUGUGAAACACAUUUUCUGUGUCUCUGUCAGGACAGUGAACUACAAAAUAAAUGAUAUUGGGGCAAGUACA